UACAGGGGGGGCAAGCGUUGUUCGGAAUUACUGGGCGUAAAGGGUUCGUAGGUGGCCACUUAAGUCAGACGUGAAAUCCCUCAGCUUAACUGGGGAACUGCGUCUGAUACUGGGUGGCUUGAGUGCAGGAGAGGGAUGCGGAAUUCCAGGUGUAGCGGUGAAAUGCGUAGAUAUCGGGAGGAAUACCGAUGGCGAAGGCAGGUCUCUGGGCUAUAACUGACGCUCAUGCACGAAAGCGUGGGGAGCAAACAGG
rnacentral:rRNA from 1 species